AUUGAACGCUGGCGGCAUGCCUAACACAUGCAAGUCGAACGUGUGGCGGACUGGUGAGCAAUGUCUGGGAACCUGCCUGAUGGAGGGGGAUAACUACUGGAAACGGUAGCUAAUACUGCUUACCUCCGGAUGUGUCCUGAUGGUAGUAGCUAUUAGGUGUGGUAAUGGUUCACCUAGGCGACGAUCCCUAGCUGGUCUGAGAGGAUGACCGGCCAAACUGGAACAGAGACACGGUCCAGACUCCUACGGGAGGCAGCAGUGGGGAAUAUUGGACAAUGGGAGAAAGCCUGAUGCAGCCAUGCCGCGUGUAUGAAUGGGGCCUUCGGGUUUUAAAGUACUUUCAGCGGGGAGGCGUUACCCGCAGAAGAAGCACCGGCUAACUCCGUGCCAGCAGCCGCGGUAAUAC
rnacentral:rRNA from 1 species